CCUACGGGUGGCAGCAGUGAGGAAUAUUGGUCAAUGGGCGCGAGCCUGAACCAGCCAAGUCGCGUGAAGGAUGACUGCCCUACGGGUUGUAAACUUCUUUUAUAAAGGAAUAAAGUGAGGCACGUGUGCCUGUUUGUAUGUACUUUAUGAAUAAGGAUCGGCUAACUCCGUGCCAGCAGCCGCGGUAAUACGGAGGAUGCGAGCGUUAUCCGGAUUUAUUGGGUUUAAAGGGAGCGUAGAUGGGUUGUUAAGUCAGUUGUGAAAGUUUGCGGCUCAACCGUAAAAGUGCAAUUGAUACUGGCAGCCUUGAGUAUAGGUGAGGUAGGCGGAAUGCGCGGUGUAGCGGUGAAAUGCUUAGAUAUCACGCAGAACUCCGAUUGCGAAGGCAGCAUACUAAAC
rnacentral:rRNA from 1 species